rnacentral:rRNA from 1 species
UACGUAGGCAGCGAGCGUUGUUCGGAGUUACUGGGCGUAAAGGGUGUGUAGGCGGUUUUUUAAGUUUGGUGUGAAAUCUCCCGGCUUAACUGGGCGGGUGCAUUAGAAACUGGAAUGCUAGAGGAUGGGAGAGGUAAGCGGAAUUCCUGGUGUAGCGGUGAAAUGCGUAGAUAUCAGGAGGAACACCUGUGGUGUAGACAGCUUACUGGACCAUUUCUGACGCUGAGACACGAAAGCGUGGGUAGCAAACAGG